CGUGUAGGCGGUUAGGCAAGUCAGAUGUGAAAGCCUUCCGCUCAACGGAAGAAGGGCAUUUGAAACUACCCGGCUGGAGUACGGGAGAGGAGAGUGGAAUUCCCGGUGUAGAGGUGAAAUUCGUAGAUAUCGGGAGGAACACCAGUGGCGAAGGCGGCUCUCUGGUCCGAUACUGACGCUGAGACGCGAAAGCGUGGGGAGCAAACAGGAUUAGAUACCCUGGUAGUCCACGCCGUAAACGAUGGGCACUAGGUGUAGGAGGUAUUGACCCCUUCUGUGCCGAAGCUAACGCAUUAAGUGCCCCGCCUGGGGAGUACGGCCGCAAGGCUAAA
rnacentral:rRNA from 1 species